AUUGAACGCUGGCGGCAGGCCUAACACAUGCAAGUCGAGCGGAUGAAGGGAGAUUGCUCCUGGAUUCAGCGGCGGACGGGUGAGUAAUGCCUAGGAAUCUGACUGGUAGUGGGGGAUAACGUCCGGAAACGGGCGCUAAUACCGCAUACGUCCUGAGGGAGAAAGUGGGGGAUCUUCGGACCUCACGCUAUCAGAUGAGCCUAGGUCGGAUUAGCUAGUUGGUGGGGUAAAGGCCUACCAAGGCGACGAUCCGUAACUGGUCUGAGAGGAUGAUCAGUCACACUGGAACUGAGACACGGUCCAGACUCCUACGGGAGGCAGCAGUGGGGAAUAUUGGACAAUGGGCGAAAGCCUGAUCCAGCCAUGCCGCGUGUGUGAAGAAGGUCUUCGGAUUGUAAAGCACUUUAAGUUGGGAGGAAGGGCAGUAAGUUAAUACCUUGCUGUUUUGACGUUACCAACAGAAUAAGCACCGGCUAACUUCGUG
rnacentral:rRNA from 1 species